rnacentral:lncRNA from 1 species
CACAAAUGGAGCUUUCCCUGCUGGAGGCACAUUGCAGUUCCCCCUUGGAAAAAAGAAAGUUUAAGAAGCAGUCUCUCCGCAGGAGCCUUUAAUGUUAUUUUCAAAGGCUGAGGUUUGAAACUGAAAGGCGCUUUGGUUUCCAGGGUAUUGCCAACGGGGCUGAAAUUACAUUGCCACAGCCAAGGAAGGUCGUUCAUGUUUAGUCAGCUCUGCUGUCACCAGGGCUCUGCCUCUUAACUUUGCUGGCCUGUCAUAGACAGGGUAAGGGCACAUCAUUUUUGUACUUUGCUAUAUAGCAUGGACACAAGUCUGGAAGGUCUGCAAAACUCUUUUUUUUUUUUUUCCAUCAGGUUUCAUUCAGUCUGCAUUUUUUCUGCUGCUGUGAAUUUCCCAGUCUCAUGGAAUAUCAAAUCGUUCGGAGAUACUGAUUCUGUUCCUGUUCAUAAAGGAGGACUUAUGCAUGAGGCUGAAAUUUCUGAUAUCAGAGGAGAGAGGCUGGUUUGGAGCAGAGGACUGGAGUGGAUAACCAAUCCCCAGCUGAGAUUCCCACUUAACAGCACGUGUCGUGCUUCCUCGCAGUCCUGUCUGUGUCCCGAAUUUUGGUGGGGGAAGAGCAUGUUGCUGUAUCUGAGGCUGUGAGAAGGUACAUACAAUGGUACCUAAAUUUUCUUGUGAAAAUGCUCAAUGGAUUGGUGAAGCUUUGUUUUCUGG